AUCUCUAUUGAAGCAAGAAGACCCCCUGAAUUUAAGCAUAUAAUUAAGGGAAGGAAAAGAAACAAAC
rnacentral:rRNA from 1 species